GAGCUGGAGCCGGCGGCAGAAGAGAAGCCCAAGCGACUGUUUACCACAAACACAGGUGCCUGCUAAAGAGAAAUCUGACGUAUAGGUGCUGACACCUGCCCGGUGCUGGAAGGCUAAGAGGAGAGGUCAGCGCAAGCGAAGCUUUGAAUUUAAGCCCCAGUAAACGGCGGCCGUAACUAUAACGGUCCUAAGGUAGCGAAAUUCCUUGUCGGGUAAGUUCCGACCCGCACGAAAGGUGUAACGAUUUGGGCACUGUCUCAACGAGGGACCCGGUGAAAUUGAAAUACCUGUGAAGAUGCAGGUUACCCGCGACUGGACAGAAAGACCCCAUGGAGCUUUACUGCAGCCUGUCAUUGAUUCUUGGCAUGUAACGUACAGGAUAGUCGGGAGACGGAGAAGGAAGGCCGCCAGACCUUCCGGAGUCACUGUUGGGAUACCGACCUUUGCGUGCUAGGGAUCUAACCCGGAGGCUAACAACCUCGGGGACAGUGGCAGGCGGGCAGUUUGACUGGGGCGGUCGCCUCCGAAAGAGUAACGGAGGCGUCCAAAGGUUCCCUCAGCGCGGACAGAAAUCGCGCGAAGAGUAUAAAGGCAGAAGGGAGCUUGACUGCGAGACUGACGGGUCGAGCAGGUACGAAAGUAGGGCUUAGUGAUCCGGUGGAAUGAAAGUGGAAUUGCCAUCGCUCAACGGAUAAAAGCUACCCUGGGGAUAACAGGCUAAUCUCUCCCAAGAGUCCAUAUCGACGGGGAGGUUUGGCACCUCGAUGUCGGCUCAUCACAUCCUGGGGCUGAAGCAGGUCCCAAGGGUUGGGCUGUUCGCCCAUCAAAGUGGUACGUGAGCUGGGUUCAGAACGUCGUGAGACAGUUCGGUCCAUAUCCAUCGCGGGCGUAAGAGAUUUGAAGGGAGCUGCUCCUAGUACGAGAGGACCGGAGUGGACGGACCAACGGUGUACCAGUUAUUGCGCCAGCAGUACAGCUGGGUAGCUGCGUCCGGAAGGGAUAAACGCUGAAAGCAUCUAAGCGUGAAGCCUGCCUUGAGAUGAGAUCUCUCACAGCGUAAGCUGGUAAGACUCCUUGAAGACGACAAGGUUGAUAGGCUGGAAGUGGAAGAGUGGCAACAUUCGAAGCGGACCAGUACUAAUAAGUCGAGGGCUUAAUUAC
rnacentral:rRNA from 1 species